AAUUUUGGACAAUGGGGGAAACCCUGAUCCAGCCAUCCCGCGUGUAUGAUGAAGGCCUUCGGGUUGUAAAGUACUUUUGGCUGAGAAGCAAAGGUAUCUCCUAAUACGAGAUACUGCUGACGGUAUCUGCAGAACAAUCACCGGCUAACUAUGCGCCAGCAGCCGGGGUAAUACGUAGGGUGCAAGCGUUAAUCGGAAUUACUGGGCGUAAAGCGUGUGUAGGCGGUUCGGAAAGGAAGAUGUGAAAACCCAGGGCUCAACCUUGGAACUGCAUCUUUAACUGCCGAGCUAGAGUAUGUCAGAGGGGGGUAGAAUUCCACGUGUAGCAGUGAAAUGCGUAGAUAUGUGGAGGAAUACCGAUGGCGAAGGCAGCCCCCUGGGAUAAUACUGACGCUCAGACACGAAAGCGUGGGGAGCAAACAG
rnacentral:rRNA from 1 species